rnacentral:lncRNA from 1 species
UAAUUGGGGGUGAAAGGAGGUGCAGAAGCGUAGAGGUUGUUGGGGUUGGGAUCGGAAGGGUUGGGAUUGGGGAUGGGGUUUUGGGGAUGAGAAAAUUGAUAAUACGGAGGAACAGAGGUGAAAUCUCCUUGCUGCAUCGUUAACUGCAGUUGGUUAAAUUGGGAUUAGGAUUAGGGUUCUUGAGAAGUGUGAGGUAGAAGAUCGCAAUGAUUGAUUGAAUUGAUCGAUUCUAAAGACUCUCUGAGAAGGGUUUGGAAAAGGAGAAUAGAAUAUGUGAAGUGGUUCGAAUGAAUGUUGUAGAAGUAACUUGGGUGCUGCGAUGACCUUCAGUGGGUUGAGGGAAAGAGAAAGAAAGGAAUACUGUAAAUAAAAAUUUUUGGACUUUAGCAUACUUAGGAUAAAUCCAAUUUCUGAUGCCACAUCACCAAUGCUUCUUUUAAUCAAAACAGGUCACCUUUAAAAAAACACAUCACCACAUUACUAACGCAACACGUGGAUUUCAUUUAACACCGUUUGCUAAUACUUAACGGAUGGGGUACAAUUUUUGCAUUUUUACAAAAAUUAUGACUAAAUUGAGACUGUUGCAAACUUGAGGACCAAAAUGAGAUUAGUUGACAAAUAAGAGGACCAAUGGAGGUAUUAAGCCUUUAUUAUAAUAAAAAAAAUUCAUUAAAACAAUUAAUGUAUUAUAAAAUGUUGUAUAUAAAUUAUGUACAACUUAAAUAAUUAAUUAGGUGUGUGUAGUACUUUGUAGGUUUCCUAUUCAUGUGGCAUGCGUCUCUGUCUCCUCUGUGUUAUCCG